rnacentral:RNase_P_RNA from 2 species
GGAAUAAGCUGACCUACCGCUGCGGUUUCGGCCGGGGAGGAAAGUCCGGGCAGCAGAGAGCAUCGUACUUCCUAACGGGAAGGCAGCAGGCCGGAGACGGAUUGCUGACAGCAAGUGCCACAGAAAUUAUACCGCCCUGGCAUGUUUUUUAUGUGUCAAGGUAAGGGUGAAAUGGUGGAGUAAGAGACCACCGCCCUUUGGGUGACCAAAGGGGCAGGGUAAACCUUACGAGCUGAAAGAUCAAAUAGGUGUCAAUCCGUGGGGCUGCUCGUCCCCGUCCUCCGGGACAUUGACACGGGUAGAUCGUUAGAGGUUUUGGGUGACCAAAAUCCUGGAUAAAUGGUAGGAACUCGACGUUGGUUCGCCAAUCGAGAGUAACAGAAUCCGGCUUACAGGCUUAUCUUUUUU